UUAGUCCUUGCACCCGCUAAACAACAUAUUUUUGAACAUUUUUUUAAACUGUGGAUAUUUGGACUUUGCUUGAGUUCCUCACUUAGACUGCUCCAUAGUUUGACUCAGCAACUCAGCCUGUCAUCUAUUAUAACCCCAAGAAAUUUGUUUUCCUGCACCCUUUCAAUUUCAGUUCCAUCGAUUUCUAUUCGUACCUUCUCUUUUCAAUGAGAUAAAGUAUUGUAAAAAUAUAUUCCAGUUGAAAAAAAAUCCAUAACGACAGAACAAUAAGAUUAUAUGGACAGCCGUAAGAGUUGACAUUUCACUUUAUAUUUAUGAAUUUAGUUAUUUCUUGUCUGGUUUUGUAUAUAUUUUCUCGUGAGGUGUUUGGUUUGUACUUGAUGAAGUUUUGCACUUAUUAUGUUGUUUUAUUUUAUUAUUAUGUGGAAGGGGGCAGGAACUAUAAGAUUUUCUUCAUCUUGUUCCUUCUCAAGCAUAAUUAUGUAAAGAUGCGUUUACUUGCUAAAGUUGAAUUGUCUAUUGAUCAAAAUACACA